CUUUAUUCCUAGGAUCACUCAAGCCAGAAUCCCAGUCAGAUCCAGGACUACCGCAUAUAGCACCUCUAUACAACAAAAGCCCUGUGUCUCAUAGGAUUACAUUCUUGUUAUUUACUGGUAAUACGUCUUCCCGAUAAUGUUUGCCUUUAGCUACCGUUUAUGUGCUUGCCUUUCUGGAGUUCUGCAUUGUUCACUAUCCUAUACUCUUCUGUGUCCCUACCCUGCCUCUGGUUUCUACUGUGGACCUUUCAUUCCUCCUGAGCCUCCUUCUUGUUUCUUCUACUGAUUUGGUGAUCCUGGUAUUCUGUUGUCACCUGUGGGAGGUCUUGGGGGUUUUGAGCGCCUGGAGUCGCUCCUGAAGGGGAGGGUACUGUCACGGUUCACUCCCUAGGUGAUAUUCCUUUGUGCAGUACCUAUUAUCACCACUCUCCCUGUUUGGUGCUAUUUUCUUGUAUCAUUUAACACUUCAGCUGACCCUUGCUAGGCACCUUUAUAGUUUGGUCUCCCCCUUCCCUCAGGGUCAGAUCAAUGUUUCCUUGAACCUGUGACUCUGACCCUGCAUCCUUUGGUCUUGUAUCCUGUUUCCUUGUUCCUGUGUCCACCGGUCUUGUAUCCUGUGACUCUGACCUUGCAUCCUCUGGUCUUGUGUUCCUGUGUCAUCUGGUCUUCUAUCCUGCAUCCUGUGGCCUUGGUUCCUGUGACUCUGACCCUGCAUCCUCUGGUCGUGUAUCCUGUGAUUCUGGCCUUGCAGCCUUUUGACACUAGAUGUAUAUCCUGCGGCUCUGGACCGGAGUCCUGUCUGUCGCUCAUGGUGCCUGCCCGGUCCUGCCCAGUGUACUCCGUUUAACCUACAAGACUGUACUUAAUACUCUGCCUGAACCUCGCGUGCUAGAUCUAGGUUUACUGUAUAUUUUGUAUUGGC